UACAUACUCCUUCCGUCCCAAAAUUCUUGUUUUAAAUUUGUCUAAAAAAAGAUGUAUCUAAAUACUAAAACAUGACUAGAUGCAUUCGUAUCUAGACAAAUCUAAGACAAAAAAUUUAAGACGGAGGGAGUAUUGA
rfam:Hordeum vulgare subsp. vulgare, WGS project CAJW01000000 data, contig: morex_contig_1563075